GGUUAAGCGACUAAGCGUACACGGUGGAUGCCCUGGCAGUCAGAGGCGAUGAAGGACGUGCUAAUCUGCGAAAAGCGUCGGUAAGGUGAUAUGAACCGUUAUAACCGGCGAUGUCCGAAUGGGGAAACCCAGUGCAAUUCGUUGCACUAUCGUUAACUGAAUACAUAGGUUAACGAGGCGAACCGGGGGAACUGAAACAUCUAAGUACCCCGAGGAAAAGAAAUCAACCGAGAUUCCCCCAGUAGCGGCGAGCGAACGGGGAGCAGCCCAGAGUCUGAAUCAGCUUGUGUGUUAGUGGAACGGUCUGGAAAGUCCGACGGUACAGGGUGAUAGUCCCGUACACCAAAAUGCACAGGCUGUGAACUCGAAGAGUAGGGCGGGACACGUGGUAUCCUGUCUGAAUAUGGGGGGACCAUCCUCCAAGGCUAAAUACUCCUGACUGACCGAUAGUGAACCAGUACCGUGAGGGAAAGGCGAAAAGAACCCCGGCGAGGGGAGUGAAAAAGAACCUGAAACCGUGUACGUACAAGCAGUGGGAGCACCUUCGGGUGUGACUGCGUACCUUUUGUAUAAUGGGUCAGCGACUUAUAUUCUGUAGCAAGGUUAACCGUAUAGGGGAGCCGCAGGGAAACCGAGUCUUAACUGGGCGUUAAGUUGCAGGGUAUAGACCCGAAACCCGGUGAUCUAGCCAUGGGCAGGUUGAAGGUUGGGUAACACUAACUGGAGGACCGAACCGACUAAUGUUGAAAAAUUAGCGGAUGACUUGUGGCUGGGGGUGAAAGGCCAAUCAAACCGGGAGAUAGCUGGUUCUCCCCGAAAGCUAUUUAGGUAGCGCCUCGUGAACUCAUCUUCGGGGGUAGAGCACUGUUUCGGCUAGGGGGUCAUCCCGACUUACCAACCCGAUGCAAACUACGAAUACCGAAGAAUGUUAUCACGGGAGACACACGGCGGGUGCUAACGUCCGUCGUGAAGAGGGAAACAACCCAGACCGCCAGCUAAGGUCCCAAAGUCAUGGUUAAGUGGGAAACGAUGUGGGAAGGCACAGACAGCCAGGAUGUUGGCUUAGAAGCAGCCAUCAUUUAAAGAAAGCGUAAUAGCUCACUGGUCGAGUCGGCCUGCGCGGAAGAUGUAACGGGGCUAAACCAUGCACCGAAGCUGCGGCAGCGACACUAUGUGUUGUUGGGUAGGGGAGCGUUCUGUAAGCCUGCGAAGGUGUGCUGUGAGGCAUGCUGGAGGUAUCAGAAGUGCGAAUGCUGACAUAAGUAACGAUAAAGCGGGUGAAAAGCCCGCUCGCCGGAAGACCAAGGGUUCCUGUCCAACGUUAAUCGGGGCAGGGUGAGUCGACCCCUAAGGCGAGGCCGAAAGGCGUAGUCGAUGGGAAACAGGUUAAUAUUCCUGUACUUGGUGUUACUGCGAAGGGGGGACGGAGAAGGCUAUGUUAGCCGGGCGACGGUUGUCCCGGUUUAAGCAUGUAGGCUGGUUGUCCAGGCAAAUCCGGAUAAUCAAGGCUGAGGUGUGAUGACGAGGCACUACGGUGCUGAAGUAACAAAUGCCCUGCUUCCAGGAAAAGCCUCUAAGCAUCAGGUAACAUUAAAUCGUACCCCAAACCGACACAGGUGGUCAGGUAGAGAAUACCAAGGCGCUUGAGAGAACUCGGGUGAAGGAACUAGGCAAAAUGGUGCCGUAACUUCGGGAGAAGGCACGCUGGUGUGUAGGUGAAGUCCCUGCGGAUGGAGCUGAGACCAGUCGAAGAUACCAGCUGGCUGCAACUGUUUAUUAAAAACACAGCACUGUGCAAACACGAAAGUGGACGUAUACGGUGUGACGCCUGCCCGGUGCCGGAAGGUUAAUUGAUGGGGUUAUCCGUAAGGAGAAGCUCUUGAUCGAAGCCCCGGUAAACGGCGGCCGUAACUAUAACGGUCCUAAGGUAGCGAAAUUCCUUGUCGGGUAAGUUCCGACCUGCACGAAUGGCGUAAUGAUGGCCAGGCUGUCUCCACCCGAGACUCAGUGAAAUUGAACUCGCUGUGAAGAUGCAGUGUACCCGCGGCAAGACGGAAAGACCCCGUGAACCUUUACUAUAGCUUGACACUGAACAUUGAGCCUUGAUGUGUAGGAUAGGUGGGAGGCUUUGAAGCGUGGACGCCAGUCUGCGUGGAGCCAACCUUGAAAUACCACCCUUUAAUGUUUGAUGUUCUAACGUUGGCCCCUUACCGGGGUUGCGGACAGUGUCUGGUGGGUAGUUUGACUGGGGCGGUCUCCUCCCAAAGCGUAACGGAGGAGCACGAAGGUUAGCUAAUCCUGGUCGGACAUCAGGAGGUUAGUGCAAUGGCAUAAGCUAGCUUGACUGCGAGCGUGACGGCGCGAGCAGGUGCGAAAGCAGGUCAUAGUGAUCCGGUGGUUCUGAAUGGAAGGGCCAUCGCUCAACGGAUAAAAGGUACUCCGGGGAUAACAGGCUGAUACCGCCCAAGAGUUCAUAUCGACGGCGGUGUUUGGCACCUCGAUGUCGGCUCAUCACAUCCUGGGGCUGAAGUAGGUCCCAAGGGUAUGGCUGUUCGCCAUUUAAAGUGGUACGCGAGCUGGGUUUAGAACGUCGUGAGACAGUUCGGUCCCUAUCUGCCGUGGGCGCUGGAGAAUUGAGGGGGGCUGCUCCUAGUACGAGAGGACCGGAGUGGACGCAUCACUGGUGUUCGGGUUGUCAUGCCAAUGGCACUGCCCGGUAGCUAAAUGCGGAAGAGAUAAGUGCUGAAAGCAUCUAAGCACGAAACUUGCCCCGAGAUGAGUUCUCCCUGAGACUUUAAGUCUCCUGAAGGAACGUUGAAGACGACGACGUUGAUAGGCCGGGUGUGUAAGCGCAGCGAUGCGUUGAGCUAACCGGUACUAAUGAACCGUGAGGCUUAACCUU
rnacentral:rRNA from 1 species